UACGUAGGGUGCGAGCGUUGUCCGGAAUUACUGGGCGUAAAGAGCUCGUAGGUGGUUUGUCGCGUUGUUCGUGAAAACCGGGGGCUUAACCCUCGGCGUGCGGGCGAUACGGGCAGACUUGAGUACUGCAGGGGAGACUGGAAUUCCUGGUGUAGCGGUGAAAUGCGCAGAUAUCGAGGAGGAACACCGAGUGGCGAAGGCGGUCUCUGGC
rnacentral:rRNA from 1 species